CCUACGGGAGGCAGCAGUGGGGAAUAUUGGGCAAUGGGCGCAAGCCUGACCCAGCAACGCCGCGUGAAGGAAGAAGGCUUUCGGGUUGUAAACUUCUUUUAAUGGGGAAGAGCAGAAGACGGUACCCCUUGAAUAAGCCACGGCUAACUACGUGCCAGCAGCCGCGGUAAUACGUAGGUGGCAAGCGUUGUCCGGAUUUACUGGGUGUAAAGGGCGUGCAGCCGGAGAGACAAGUCAGAUGUGAAAUCCACGGGCUCAACCCGUGAACUGCAUUUGAAACUGUUUCCCUUGAGUGUCGGAGAGGUAAUCGGAAUUCCUUGUGUAGCGGUGAAAUGCGUAGAUAUAAGGAAGAACACCAGUGGCGAAGGCGGAUUACUGGACGAUAACUGACGGUGAGGCGCGAAAGCGUGGGGAGCAAACAGGAUUAGAUACCCCUGUAGUC
rnacentral:rRNA from 1 species